AGCUGGUAGCUCUUUGCUCUAUGGAGAGGCGACCGGCGCGGCGCGGCGGAGGGAAGACGACAACCGACCUCGUAGUUGCAAAAACCUGUCACGUGUUCUCUGGCCAGCUCGUUGGGUCGCGCCCUGGCGUUUUGGAGGGGAGGAGAAGCCACCAAUCCCGUACGGUAUUCAGAAUUGAAGCAGGAAGGAAGGAGCAAAUUUAUGAUGCCUUUAAACAACAUGGCGGAGCAGCAACUGUACAACUACAAGUAACACUACAGAAACCGUGGGAAAGCGAAACCAGGACGACCGACUAGUGUUCGUGCGCUGCAUAGCGCCUACCACGCCGCGGGGUAGGCAGCCCCGCGCGACGCCGCCGCGCCGCUGGGUUGCGUCGUGCAGGCCCUCGCAGGCGGAGCGCGCGAGGGUCAAUAUUGAUGAAACACAACCGGCACUGGAGGUGAAGCCUGCCAGGCGGGCCAUGCCCAUCGUGCAUAGGGAGUCAGCCCUAACACAACAGGCAGUGAACCCAGAGGUCGCCAUCAUCAAGGAAGACCAACAACUGAACUCAGUACAAGAUGGCUGCAACAGGGCGUGCCGUAACAUCGAGCACUAACGUAGUCUCAACCCAAAGCCAAUAAUUAUUAUAACGCCGCGCAACGACAGCAGCAUUCAGCGCCAGAGGCGGCGGUAAAGUGCUCAAGCGCUCCGGCCUGUUAGUGCCGAACCAUACGUGAGCCAAAACGUACCAACAGAACGAGUAAGGCGCCUUCGCAGACUUGAAGCGCUGGGCGCUGUUGCAGGGCCACCGAAUGCGUCGACCAGCGCAGAGGCUAGGAUGACUGAAAUCAACUCCAACCAUGAAGACCCGAUGCAGAUGAACGAAGACGAAGCAAAUGAAACACCUCUAAGCUGAUGCGCGGGGAAAUAUGGCACCUAAUAUUCUUAGGGAUUCCCAUACAAGUCUACAGCCAAGUGAGCUCAUCCCAUACGAGCGUCCGGAUCACUAUUUAAUAAAUUUGGGUACGCGUUUAACAGGAAAAUAAAUAAAAAUAAAUACAUUCAUAAAAA